GUGGGGAAUAUUGGACAAUGGGCGAAAGCCUGAUCCAGCCAUGCCGCGUGUGUGAAGAAGGUCUUCGGAUUGUAAAGCACUUUAAGUUGGGAGGAAGGGCAGUAAGUUAAUACCUUGCUGUUUUGACGUUACCGACAGAAUAAGCACCGGCUAACUUCGUGCCAGCAGCCGCGGUAAUACGAGGGGUGCAAGCGUUAAUCGGAAUUACUGGGCGUAAAGCGCGCGUAGGUGGUUUUGUAAGUUGGAGGUGAAAUCCCCGGGCUCAACCUGGGAACUGCCUCCAAAACUGCAUGAAUAGAGUGCGGUAGAGGGUAGUGGAAUUUCCUGUGUAGCGGUGAAAUGCGUAGAUAUAGGAAGGAACACCAGUGGCGAAGGCGACUACCUGGACUGAUACUGACACUGAGGUGCGAAAGCGUGGGGAGCAAACAGGAUUAGAUACCCGAGUAGUCC
rnacentral:rRNA from 1 species